rnacentral:rRNA from 1 species
CAUUACUGAGUACUACACUCUCUACCCUUUGUGAACUAUUAUACCUGUUGCUUCGGCGGCGCCCGCAAGGGUGCCCGCCGGUCUCAUCAGAAUCUCUGUUUUCGAACCCGACGAUACUUCUGAGUGUUCUUAGCGAACUGUCAAAACUUUUAACAACGGAUCUCUUGGCUCCAGCAUCGAUGAAGAACGCAGCGAAACGCGAUAUGUAAUGUGAAUUGCAGAAUUCAGUGAAUCAUCGAAUCUUUGAACGCACAUGGCGCCUUCCAGUAUCCUGGGAGGCAUGCCUGUCCGAGCGUCGUCUCAACCCUCGAGCCCCUGUGGCCCGGCGUUGGGGAUCUGCCACGGCAGGCCCCUAAAACCAGUGGCGGACCCGAAGGGCCCUCUCCUUUGCGCAGUAGCAUUCGCCUCGCAUCGGGAGUCCUCGGCGUCCUGCCUCUAAACCCCCCACAAGCCCGCUUCGGCGGCACCAAGGUUGACCUCGGAUCAGGUAGGAAUACCCGCUGAACUUAAGCAUAUCAAUAAGCGGAGGAAAAGAAACCAACAGGGAUUGCCCCAGUAAC